rnacentral:rRNA from 1 species
CCUACGGGCGGCACCAGUGGGGAAUAUUGCACAAUGGGCGCAAGCCUGAUGCAGCCAUGCCGCGUGUGUGAAGAAGGCCUUCGGGUUGUAAAGCACUUUCAGCGGGGAGGAAGGCGUUAAGGUUAAUAACCUUGGCGAUUGACGUUACCCGCAGAAGAAGCACCGGCUAACUCCGUGCCAGCAGCCGCGGUAAUACGGAGGGUGCAAGCGUUAAUCGGAAUUACUGGGCGUAAAGCGCACGCAGGCGGUCUGUCAAGUCGGAUGUGAAAUCCCCGGGCUCAACCUGGAAACUGCAUUCGAAACUAGCAGGCUAGAGUCUUGUAGAGGGGGGUAGAAUUCCAGGUGUAGCGGUGAAAUGCGUAGAGAUCUGGAGGAAUACCGGUGGUGAAGGCGGCCCCCUGGACAAAGACUGACGCUCAGGUGCGAAAGCGUGGGGAGCACACAGGAUUAGAUACCCGGGUAGUC